AGGUAACUUAUUUUAAUAAUCUAGGAGGAAAAAUUUCUGGAUUCCAGAAGACAGUAACACCUCGGCGCUCUGCCUGCGCGCCCCAGAGUGCCAUUGUCACCGCAGCGGUUGCUGGACGCACCUCUCCCAAGGGGCCUGUGAGCUGGACCCCAGCGAGGUGGCAGGAUCUGCCUGGUCCCUGCUUGCCGGGUGAACGCACGCGAGUUAACUCCACAUGUCCGUCCCGAGCAGCUUCCUGUACUGCCCUCUCGUGGCCACGGUGCUCAGUGGUAGAAGGAGAAAACCCAGACAGGUGCCUCGCGAAACCAGAGGAGCAGUUGAAGGAAAUUCUCAGAGCAGCCAGGCAAAGAUUGCUCCUGAUUGUAUCCUGAGCAAUCACAAGGGGUGUACCUGGUAUCCGUUCCUGGCUUUGAACGUCCUUGGCAGUUACUGGGAACACACCAGGUAAUGAUGAUGGUGUUUCCCCUUCGUUAUUAGUAAGCACAUCUGCUGCACUGAGCCUCCUGUCAUUCAGUGGACUGACUCUCACCCCAGUCACAGCUUUCGGUCCUGUGGU